GCAACUGUGGAGGCCUGUCUGGUAAAACUCAGCUGCUUAUCCCAGAACGUAUUCAUAACUGUAAAGCAUAGGCUACACAGUGCUGUCUUUGGUAACACAGUUCAUUGCAUCCAGAAAACAGGCAUUUCUUUAGCAUGGCUCAUUCUGAUUUUACUAAAUUCAUUGUCUAGACAUCAGUAAGAAAGCAGUCGGUGCGUGUGUUUUCUUUGCUCCCCAGCUGGUGUCUUCAUGCGUAGUGGUUAAAUAUUGUUUUUAGUUACCGUGCUGUGGUAAUGGUUUCCAGCUCUACUAGAUGAAUGUAAUCAUGUUAUAAAUAGGCUGCUUGCUGUUCUUGGCUUAUACAAACGUAUAGUGAAAGGCUAUGCCUUACGUAAGAGGCCAUCUCUUUUUUCCCCAGUCUGUGUCAUAGUCAGAAAAGAGGGUGUUUUCUUCAUUUUUUUCCUGUACGAGCAGAAGUAGUGCUGACUUGUCAGGGUGAGGCUUCAUUCUCUCACAGGUAGGAAGAGAAGCUCUCCGAACAGAGCAGAUAGGUCUGGCAUCGGAGGUGAAAGUUACCAGAAACUCAGCCAUUCUCUCUCUGGAGUUUUGCAGCUUCUGAGAGCAGCGCAGCGGCAGAAGUCUGGGGAGCAGAUUGUUGCUUUCGAAUCUCCGCUGUUGCUGUCUGGUUUCAUUGCUGAAUCCUCAGCUGCAUCUGCAGGAAGAGGCUGUGUGCGAGGGAAUGGGGAAAUGAGCCGCGCCGCGGAGGCAGGACUUUGCAUAACCUUGUAUUGCAUAAAGCAGACUGGGAGCAGAUAGCAUUUUCCGGAGGGGGUGGGCUCCGGGACCUGCGGUCUGGGAUGAAGCUUUGGCAAAGUACGAACGCAGUGAUAAAAAUACCAGCUUGCAGAUUAAUUUCACAGUCCUUCCCACAGGUUGGUGAGCUAAAUAGCAGGUAGAAUCACGUUGCUGCUGCUCUGCAGUUGGCUGAAGGUCAGAAAGGGAGCACUUUUUUUCUGGCAGGAAUAAUAGGUGCUCUCAGCUGCUGUAUUUCAGUUAAGUUAGUGCUGUGAUGGUCUUGUCACUGGUUACCUUGGAGUGAGACUUCUGUUGGUGGUGCUGUUCUCCCUAGUUUGGGUGUGAUUGAACUUUAAAUGCUCUGGAAUAGAAGGUGUUUUGUGGAUGAAGAGCCUCACGUUACCCUAAGCUAACAGCUGUUCAUUUAAGAUGACUUAACUUUCUUUUCCCUGCACCUUUACUUUUCUAAACGAGCGACUUCUUAUUUUGUUUCUUUUCAACGUGGUUCCCUGAAAUGCACAGUCCACGUGUUGGAGAUCACACGCUGUAUGUUGGUAUUCUUAUAAAUUCAUUGCUGUGAACGAUUGUGUGUGAGAUUAAAAAACUUGCUCCUGAAUUGGAUCUUGCUUUGUGUGAGCUGGAGCCUCAAAUUCUUGUUGGGAAGGAAGGCUCUAAUAGCAAGUGCCACACCAAGCUUUUAUGGUCCUGUCCCAGGCUGUAAGAAACCUUAACACACAGCGCAUGUUAAAAAAGCAACCAGUGCUGUGACUGGCAAUGCAUGUGUUUAGUGCUGCCGUUUGUUCUAUCCCCUUCCUCUGUUUACAAGCUGACUGUUUAAAUUACAGCUUCCUUCCUAUGAGGAACUUGUAUUCAUGCAUGUCUGUCAAAUACCUGCGGCCUUCUAAGAUCACAGGAACCAUUCCAUGAAGCACUUCUCCACGGGGAAGGGGAGAAGCACAAUACAUGAGUAGUCACCUGUGUCUCGAAUUCAUGAUUUAGAGCCAUGGUUACACAGCGAGACAGUAAGAUGUGGGGGGAGCCCUUGCCUGUGUAAGUAACAAGGCCGGGUUUUAUACUCCCUAGAAAAGCAUAGGAUAUGAAAAAUAAUUCCUGCCAUCAUUUCGUGCUCCUGAGCCCUUAAUAACUCUGCAGUCACCCUGCUGGUAGCCAGCAUUAAGGUAAUUGAGAAGAGAAUCUGAAACUUUAAAUGCACAAAGUCAGGUCGCUUAACUCGUGUCCUGGCUAAGGGAUGUGGCAGGUGGGGAUGGGAGCGCAGGGCUGGCGCUGGGGCCGGGUUGCUGAAUCAGGUGCCUGACAGCUAAUUGUGGACUUGGAAAGCACUAACCUCCAACUGCUGGCUUUGAAAGGCAGUCAUGUGCUCACACACCUCCAGAGCUGGUUGGGGUGCCUUACAGCAAGCAGCUCUGUUGCUGACGGCAGCCUGCAAAUCUCAUAGGGUGCCUGAGACCUUGGGGUGGGGAUAACUCUCCAUUACAAGGAAUCAUCUCAUGCCACUUCUUCCAGUUUGUAGCCACGUUCUGCAAGUUGCAGGCUUAGAGCGUGCCUGUCUGACUGUUUUUAUGUGACAAAAAGCAUUUGGCAAAUGGCAUCUCUGAAAUGCUAACAAGCCGGGCUCUGAAACGUGGGGUGCAGGGAAGGAGUUAAUGGGUGCUGGGAAUUGCAGGCAUUUGCUGGCUGAUGCGCGCUGACACACACUGAAAAGCUUGGAGCUUUCCUCUCAGAGUUGUGCCUUCCACUGUUUGUUUGUAUCGCCUUUCGGUAAAUGGCUUUGCUAAAAAAAGUUCUGCUGAACACUUAAUUCCUUUUUGGAUUCCCUCUGCAUAGUAGUUCCCUCAGUCUUGGGCUCGCUCAUUUAUAUUCAUGGCUAAAUAUGUAUUUAAUAGCCUGCAGCUCCUCCUGCGUGCGUGUGAAUGCUCGUAUUUCCUGAUCUGAGAUCCUUGCAGCAGAAAGAACUUGCAGGCUGCAUCGCUUUGCUAUCCAGCUUGCCCUGCUCUGGAUCUUGUGGGGGAGCAGUUGUUUUCUCCCCAGCUGUGCCCCUGUGUUGCAGCAGUGCACAGGGCUGCCGUGCCAUCGGGCCAUGGUGGACGUGUGUGACUUUGCAGUGAGGCCGAUCUGCUGGCCUGAGGCAGGCAGGAGGACUGAAGAAGGGAAAACGCUGAGCCCUUGAUUGUGCAAACCCCUUUGCAUUGAGCUCAGCAGUUUAAUAAUAGUUGGCCGGAGUAUAAAGUGUCACAUGAUGGGGAGCACAAGAGGAGUUCCCUGGCUUUGUUUAUACUGCUGGACUUGUGAAUUCAGUCAUUCAGAUUAAUCCUAUUGUGAGCCCACAGAUCUAAAUGUCCUCUGGUGUGUGUCCCGUUUAGCGCAGCCCUCAGCCCGUGACUCCUGUGACUUCCUGCCAUCUGCUCCUUGGCUGCGGAGAGGAAUUUUUCUUGUAUAUGCAUCUCCAUAGCAACGCGUUUGCAGUUGAUAUGGAAAGUAAGCAGUUGCCCUAGCAACGGAGUUACUGAUGUGGCAGCUCCUGAGCUCGCAGGGAAAGGGCUGAGCUGGUUCAGACGCAUUAUAUCUGUGUUAUUAUCCGUGUAGGGAUUCCUGGUUUGAACAAAGGCCGAUAAGGUUGCGUUUUCAGGGCGGGUGAUCAAUCUGUGCCUUUUAUGAAUGCAAACUUUGCUGACUGUUCUUAUGAAAUGUGAGCAGAUGAAGGGAGAAGAUGCUUGGUAUCACCGACUUCUCUGCAGUUCUUUGGUCUCACUCAGCAGCCCAGUUAUGGAAGAAGAUGCUCUCAUCCCAUGCCUCGUGCUCUGCUGCCUUUGUUUGCUGGUCUGUGCUGCUCCGGGUAUCCCUCCUACAGAGCGGGCUCCUCUUUGUGUCUGCCCUGCUUGUCUGAGGCAGAGAAUGGUGCACGUGUUCCCAGCUGGGUGCAUGCUGGGGAAAUUCAAGGCUCUUGAGGGUUUGUUUGGCACUUGUGCUGAGGGACGUCUCAAUAAAAAUGUCUCAGUAAAAAUGUA